CCUACGGGGGGCAGCAGUGAGGAAUAUUGGUCAAUGGGCGAGAGCCUGAACCAGCCAAGUCGCGUGAGGGAGUACUGCCCUAUGGGUUGUAAACCUCUUUUGUCGGGGAGCAAAAGCCGGACGUGUCCGGCUUUGCGAGUACCCGAAUAAAAAGCAUCGGCUAACUCCGUGCCCGCAGCCGCGGUAAUACGGAGGAUGCGGGCGUUAUCCGGAUUUAUUGGGUUUAAAGGGUCGGCAGGCGGAUUUUUAAGUUAACGGGAAAAUCGGGGGGCUCAACCCCAUCCAGCCGUUGAAACUGGGGAUCUAGAGUGUGCGAGAGGUAUGCGGAAUGCGUGGUGUAGCGGUGAAAUGCAUAGAUAUCACGCAGAACCCCGAUUGCGAAGGCAGCAUACCGGUGCACAACUGACGCUCAGGCACGAAAGCGUGGGUAUCGAACAGGAUUAGAUACCCUAGUAGUC
rnacentral:rRNA from 1 species